rnacentral:rRNA from 1 species
CGGCGUGCUUAACACAUGCAAGUCGAACGGAAAGGCCCUGCUUUUGUGGGGUGCUCGAGUGGCGAACGGGUGAGUAACACGUGAGUAGCCUGCCCUUGACUUUGGGAUAACUUCAGGAAACUGGGGCUAAUACCGGAUAGGAGCUCCUGCUGCAUGGUGGGGGUUGGAAAGUUUCGGCGGUUGGGGAUGGACUCGCGGCUUAUCAGCUUGUUGGUGGGGUAGUGGCUUACCAAGGCUUUGACGGGUAGCCGGCCUGAGAGGGUGACCGGCCACAUUGGGACUGAGAUACGGCCCAGACUCCUACGGGAGGCAGCAGUGGGGAAUAUUGCACAAUGGGCGGAAGCCUGAUGCAGCAACGCCGCGUGCGGGAUAACGGCCUUCGGGUUGUAAACCGCUUUCGCCUGUGACGAAGCGUGAGUGACGGUAAUGGGUAAAGAAGCACCGGCUAACUACGUGCCAGCAGCCGCGGUGAUACGUAGGGUGCGAGCGUUGUCCGGAUUUAUUGGGCGUAAAGGGCUCGUAGGUGGUUGAUCGCGUCGGAAGUGUAAUCUUGGGGCUUAACCCUGAGCGUGCUUUCGAUACGGGUUGACUUGAGGAAGGUAGGGGAGAAUGGAAUUCCUGGUGGAGCGGUGGAAUGCGCAGAUAUCAGGAGGAACACCAGUGGCGAAGGCGGUUCUCUGGGCCUUUCCUGACGCUGAGGAGCGAAAGCGUGGGGAGCGAACAGGCUUAGAUACCCUGGUAGUCCACGCUGUAAACGGUGGGUACUAGGUGUGGGGUCCAUUCCACGGGUUCCGUGCCGUAGCUAACGCUUUAAGUACCCCGCCUGGGGAGUACGGCCGCAAGGCUAAAACUCAAAGGAAUUGACGGGGCCCCGCACAAGCGGCGGAGCAUGCGGAUUAAUUCGAUGCAACGCGUAGAACCUUACCUGGGUUUGACAUGGAUCGGGAGUGCUCAGAGAUGGGUGUGCCUCUUUUGGGGUCGGUUCACAGGUGGUGCAUGGCUGUCGUCAGCUCGUGUCGUGAGAUGUUGGGUUAAGUCCCGCAACGAGCGCAACCCUUGUUCACUGUUGCCAGCACGUUAUGGUGGGGACUCAGUGGAGACCGCCGGGGUCAACUCGGAGGAAGGUGGGGAUGACGUCAAGUCAUCAUGCCCCUUAUGUCCAGGGCUUCACGCAUGCUACAAUGGCUGGUACAGAGAGUGGCGAGCCUGUGAGGGUGAGCGAAUCUCGGAAAGCCGGUCUCAGUUCGGAUUGGGGUCUGCAACUCGACCUCAUGAAGUCGGAGUCGCUAGUAAUCGCAGAUCAGCAACGCUGCGGUGAAUACGUUCCCGGGGCUUGUACACACCGCCCGUCAAGUCAUGAAAGUUGGUAACACCCGAAGCCGGUGGCCUAACCGUUGUGGGGGAGCCGUCGAAGGUGGGACUGGUGAUUAGGACUAAGUC